UCUCCCAGAAGGCUGUGCACAGAAUCCAUUGGGUCCUAUUCUGCUUUAGAUCAUGGAGGCAUUCCUUCUAGCACAAAAAAUUUAAAAACUAGACAGUCUCGAGGUGGGCUAUGAAGGGGAGCAGAAUGGAGAAAGGAGAAAGACUAGAAAGAACGGCAACUCCACCGAGACCUUGCUGAGGUGGGAGAGAGUGGACUGCAAGGUUUUAGAGCCAACAUGGAAACAGACCGAACUCUGACCUUGGCCAUCAUUAAGCAUCUGAUGGCUGAACCAGAGGGCCCAGAGAGGGAGGUGCCGUUGCCUUGGUGGACUCUAUUAUGUGGGAUUAAAAGGAAUUAGGCAGCGAGUUUAGCCACCUGUGUGCUUUCUGUGACAUAGACAAAGAAACGGAAUGUCAGGCUGGCUUCCAACACUCUAUUAAGGAAUAGCAGGAACUAGUGCUGAGUAUGGGGGCCCUGAGUACAUGCUUAAUUCCUUGUUACUACAACACUACUGUGAAUGGCUUUCCCUCUGAACUCCUCUCUUCUGGUUUACUCUGAGAUAAAGUGGACGACAACCCAGGAGCUAAGGAUUUUACAAGAGGGAAAUGAUCCGAGGGGCUGCAAAGAAGACAAUUUGGGAUGGAAAAUCUACUUUCAGCCAACCUGUCUGACAGACAAUGGCAAUGGGUAUGCAGUCAACAUCCUUACAGAGAUGAGGGAUGGAUGCUGGAAAUGAGGCUGGGAGAGAAAGUUGACAAGCAUUGGCUCUCUACAAGACAAAAGGUAAAUGUGACUAACUGUCCUUAAUCAGGAGGGGUGGCCUCUGGAAUACCCAAAGCAAAGUAUCUGGAUGCAAUAUAGCAAAAUCAAGCAUGGCCAACAAUUGAAGGAAGCCUGAAUUCUAGAGCUUAUUUGUAGAAAGUCAGCAAAAUUUCCCUUUUCAUGGAGAUAGAGACUCCAGGAAGAUAAUCAGCUCUGCUCUCCCAGGGGCCAAAUAUGUCUGAACUGCUUUAAAAAGUCUGUCAAGCCAAGGAUAAACUAUAUUUUGAGACAAAGAAAUUUCUACAAAGAAUACCAGCAGAGUGGCUCUUCGGGGUUUCUCAUGUACUCCCAAACUUAUUCAUUCAAUAAACUUUUAAUAAGUACCUACCAUGGGCCAGGCCUGUUGCUAAUCUCUGGAGACCUUAAAAAAAAAAAAAAAAAAAGCA